rnacentral:lncRNA from 1 species
UAUGGGAAAGUAAAGGGGACUACGCUGGAGCGGAUGCGGAAGGCGCUGAGGCCAGGGCUGCUGUCAUGAGUCCUCACAUUUAUGGAUGGGGCUGAUAAACUGUCACACUCCGCACCGUCAAGGACAAGGGGUGAAAAGCCUAACUUUGCACCAGGCAUACCACCCUUGCACAAAAGGCUGAGACCUCCAGGAACCUAGAAGAACCCAUCUUCAAUUCCACAGACUUGAAAAAUCAGCUGGAAAUACAU